GAGGGUGAGGCGCUGAGAGGUUGGGCCAGUUGGAGGGAUUAUCUGGGUGGCUGUCUUCGUCUGCGCAGUCUACGCAAAGGAAGGCACGGCUAGUGCUGGGGAAGUAAACCCAAGCCCGUUGUUUAAGCCCUUGGUGAAGCUGGGGGAUGCAGAAGUUGACUGCAACAAGGUCUUUCUUUGCCUUGGAUCUAGUCCCUGAGGGGUUACUGGUUGGGAAAAUGACUUAUCAACACCCGCAUUAGAAGACGUUUAAGAUUACCAAGGAGGAGCAGAAUACCCAGUAAGAGAGGGCACCGCCAUCAAGGAACUGAAAAAAGCUGGAGGAAAACGUCAGUCUUCAAUUCGCUUCUCCUCUCCCCUUUUAAGGACCUAAUUAUGAGCGUUUGACUCGAUGGUUUCAAACAGGCUCUUACCGAUAACCAAGUCGGGUUUGGGCCCCUGCAGCAGGUGGUAGGGCCGCGAAGACACCUUGAUCUGCAGGUCCCUGCGGCCGCCCUUCUCCCUCAUCCCAGAGCUGAGCCGUGCUGAUACCCCGGAACUGGGACGGACAGAUCCUUCGGGGCCAUCCUGGGGAGUUAGAAGUGGGUGCAGAAGCCAGUGGAAGUGAGGGUGCAUCAGGGUAAAAUGCUGCUGGUCACUCUCGGGGGGCAGGCCGUCACCCACAAACUGCAGCUCCAGAGCCACGUGGGGGAGCAAGACCAAGAGCUCCUGAGGGACAGAGAGAACAGAUUUGGGUCCCAGCCUGCACCCACCUCCACACCCCACAUGCCCAACCUUAAGGCCUGGAGGGACUUACCCAAAAUACCAUGACAAGGUCAAACUCCUUCCCGGCCUCCACCACAUGGAUUUUCAGUGACUGUUUGUUCUGGAUGUUGAGCUCAGGGACUGGGUGAUAAGCUCACCAUCUAAGAAUGUGGUCUCCCUCCCACCCCACCCCGA